ACCUCCGCAAUGCACGCAAGUGCGACGGGGGGACCCCAAGUGCCACUCUUAACGGGGUGGCUUUUCAGGAGUGUAAAAAGCUCCUGGAAUAAGGGCUGGGCAAGACCGGUGCCAGCCGCCGCGGUAACACCGGCAGCUCGAGUGGUAGCCGCGUUUAUUGGGCCUAAAGCGUCCGUAGCCGGUCCGAUAAGUCUCUGGUGAAAGCCCACAGCUCAACUGUGGGAAUCGCUGGAGAUACUAUCGGACUUGAGGCCGGGAGAGGCUGGAGGUACUCCCAGGGUAGGGGUGAAAUCCUAUAAUCCUGGGAGGACCACCUGUGGCGAAGGCGUCCAGCUGGAACGGACCUGACGGUGAGGGACGAAAGCCAGGGGCGCGAACCGG
rnacentral:rRNA from 1 species